rnacentral:lncRNA from 13 species
AUGACACAACCAAAACACAAGCAUCAGGGGCCAGUUGUGGAAAUAUCAUUCCCCUCAAGGGAAGUGAUAGAAAAACUAGAACACCCUGAGCCAAGAGAAGCCAGGAUGGUGCUGGAAUGUAGAGAGGCUGAGAGCCAGAGUGAGGGCCAGGCCGGAGGAAGCUGGAGGGGACUAGAAAGAGAGGAGACAAAGUCUGCAGGGUUGUGGAAAAAGAGGACCAAGGAGAAGGGGGAGAUGGAAGAUGCAGGAAGAGCUGAAUCAAGGAGGAAGAAGGAGACAAUGCAGCUAAGAUACAGAAACAUCUUUAAGAAAAUGAGAACACAGUGAAAGGUUUUAAACAGGGUUGGAGGUAAUACAAAUAAAGACACAUAAAAUUCAGCUUGGCCA